CCUACGGGUGGCAGCAGUCGAGAAUCAUUCACAAUGGGGGAAACCCUGAUGGUGCGACGCCGCGUGGGGGAAUGAAGGUCUUCGGAUUGUAAACCCCUGUCAUGUGGGAGCAAAUUAAAAAGAUAGUACCACAAGAGGAAGAGACGGCUAACUCUGUGCCAGCAGCCGCGGUAAUACAGAGGUCUCAAGCGUUGUUCGGAAUCACUGGGCGUAAAGCGUGCGUAGGCUGUUUCGUAAGUCGUGUGUGAAAGGUGCGGGCUCAACCCGCGGACGGCACAUGAUACUGCGAGACUAGAGUAAUGGAGGGGGAACCGGAAUUCUCGGUGUAGCAGUGAAAUGCGUAGAGAUCGGGAGGAACACUCGUGGCGAAGGCGGGUUCCUGGACAUUAACUGACGCUGAGGCACGAAGGCCAGGGGAGCGAAAGGGAUUAGAUACCCUUGUAGUC
rnacentral:rRNA from 1 species